rnacentral:rRNA from 1 species
AGUGAACGCUGGCGGUAGGCCUAACACAUGCAAGUCGAACGGCAGCACAGUAAGAGCUUGCUCUUACGGGUGGCGAGUGGCGGACGGGUGAGGAAUACAUCGGAAUCUACUUUUUCGUGGGGGAUAACGUAGGGAAACUUACGCUAAUACCGCAUACGACCUACGGGUGAAAGAAGGGGAUCUUCGGACCUUGCGCGAUUGAAUGAGCCGAUGUCGGAUUAGCUAGUUGGCGGGGUAAAGGCCCACCAAGGCGACGAUCCGUAGCUGGUCUGAGAGGAUGAUCAGCCACACUGAAACUGAGACACGGUCCAAACUCCUACGGGAGGCAGCAGUGGGGAAUAUUGGACAAUGGGCGCAAGCCUUAUCCAGCCAUACCGCGUGGGUGAAGAAGGCCUUCGGGUUGUAAAGCCCUUUUGUUGGGAAAGAAAAGCAGCAGGUUAAUACCCCGCUGUUCUGACGGUACCCAAAGAAUAAGCACCGGCUAACUUCGUG